rnacentral:rRNA from 1 species
UACGAAGGGGGCUAGCGUUGCUCGGAAUGACUGGGCGUAAAGGGCGCGUAGGCGGAUGGCACAGUCAGAUGUGAAAUUCCCGGGCUUAACCUGGGGGCUGCAUUUGAUACGUGUUGUCUUGAGCUCGGAAGAGGGUCGUGGAAUUCCCAGUGUAGAGGUGAAAUUCGUAGAUAUUCGCAAGAACACCAGUGGCGAAGGCGGCUCACUGGCCCGAUACUGACGCUGAUGCACGAAAGCGUGGGGAGCAAACAGG